CAAAGAUUUUGUUUUCAUACACAAUGUUGCUUUUAAUUGUUCCAGCGCUAUUGGUAACACAUCACCACACACUGUUUAGUGAAUAGACUGAUCACUGGAAGAAGAUACACAAGGAAAGGAACAGAUACAGACCGGAGUGUGUUGGUAAUAACAAGCUUUUUUUUAAUCACAGGCUGGGUUAUUAUGGGAAUUAAAUGGUUUUUUCAGCUGAAAGUUUUCAAGAUGGAUAUAACUGGCGAACUUGUUCCGAUAUAGAUCCUUGGAAAGGUUGAUAGAGAAAUAUCAGAAACAAUCUGAAAUUAACACUAUCACCUAGAUAACCCAAGUGGUAUAAUUCAACACUCAGAAUAAAUGCAGGUGUUGGCCUGCCGAGCUGCUGAACAGGGAUACGGUGCCAUGAAAAUUAUCUCUAUUACAAAGGACAAAGCGGAUGUUUUUGUUUUCAGGGAUCUCCCUCCCAUGCUGGCAUGAUUGUCACUAAAUGAUCUCUUCCUUAUAAUCCCAAGGGGACUUCACCUGUACUUACAUAUAAAAGGUGCAGAGUUUCAUAUUUAUGCAUGAAAAUUUGAGACAAAUUUAGCAAAGAUGUUGUCAGGGUUUGCGUAGAAUCCAUCUAAUGCCAAAGAGAAAACAAUUCAUUAAUUCAAGGGAGAUCCCUGCUGUGAUUAGUUAAUAUAUAUUAUAUAUAUAUAUAUAAUAUCAAGCUCAGAGGUGCCAAAAAGGUAGCUCCCCAGAUGUUAUAGAACCACAACUACCAUGAUGCUUUACAUGCCUUUAGAAUGCCUUUACAAUGACAAAGCAUCAUGGAAGCUGUAAUUUUUGAAACAUCUGGGGAUCUACCUUUUGGGUACCCCUGAUCCAGCCUAUGUAUUGUACAUACCACCAGGAAACUAUUUUUUUUUUUU